UACGGAGGAUUCAAGCGUUAUCCGGAUUUAUUGGGUUUAAAGGGUGCGUAGGCGGUCGGAUAAGUCAGAUGUGAAAACCAUGGGCUCAACCUGUGGCCUGCAUUUGAAACUGUUUUUCUUGAGUACUGGAGAGGCAGACGGAAUUCCUAGUGUAGCGGUGAAAUGCGUAGAUACUAGGAGGAACACCAGUGGCGAAGGCGGUCUGCUGGACAGCAACUGACGCUGAGGCGCGAAAGCGUGGGGAGCAAACAGG
rnacentral:rRNA from 1 species